rnacentral:lncRNA from 1 species
GCAGUUUUGUUUAUGUAAAUAAGUGUGUCAGAGACCGAAGGCUGUGAACACUCUCCUUGUAAUGCUUCUGGAAAUGGCCCCGGAAAGUUAGCUGGGGCAGUUGUAGGUGAUCAUGGUCCUUACCCUGCCUGCUGUCCAGUGUCUGAAGACAACAAAUGUUUUUCUGAUUUUUCAGGGGUUUUUUUGAGGCAGGAAAGUGAAUCUAUUUCCUAGUAGCCCAUAUGGCUAGAAGUAAUAUGGCCGGUGUCUUUAUUUUUAACUAAGAUGAAUGGCGAAAUAGCUUCCUUUUCUUAAAUACAAAUGACAUAAAAAUAUGAAUUCUAGCCUUUAACAUUACUGGAAGAAAGUUUCUCAGGUUUUUACCCCUAGUGAUGCGUAUAUUUGUCGCUGGUACUCAAUCUAUAAACCGCAUCAAUUAAGAGUUGGUGCUGUGGGCUGGGGUCAAAGCACAAUGUAGAGCAUUUGCCUACCAUGUGUGAGGCACUGGGUUUGAUGCUCAGCACCGCAUAUAAAUAAAUAAAAUAAACGUCCAUUGACAACUAAAAAACAUUUUUAAAAGUGUUAAAGUGGAUCAAGGAUCUCGGCAUUAGUCCAGAUUAGAAGAAAAAGUAGGCCCAAUACUCCUUUAUGUCAACUUAGGAAUGCACUUCCUCAGGAGCCUAAAGCAAGAAGUAAAACCAAGAAUCAAUAAAUGGGAUGCUAUCAAGUUAAAAACUUCUUCACAGCAUAGGAAACAAUAAUGUGAACAGAGUGCCUGAGGAAUGGGAGAAAAUCUUUACCAUCUGCACCUCAGAGCAUCCAUCACCAGGAUGUACAAAGAACUUAGAAAACUUACCACCAGAAAAUAAAGAAAAAAAAAAAAACUCUUAGUCAAUAAAUGGGCAAAGGAAUUGAACAAGCACUUCACGGAAGAGGAAAUACAAAUGGUCAACAAAUAUAUGAAAAAAAAAUGUUCAACAUCUCUAGCAAUUAGAGAAAUGCAAAUUAAAACUAUGCAGAGAUUCCAUCUUACUCCAGUCAGAACAGCAAUCAUCAAGAAUACAAGUAAGGGUAAAUAUUGGCAAGGAUAUGGGGGAAAAGGUACACUCAUACAUUGCUGGUGGGACUGCAAAUUGGUGCAAUCACUGUGGAAAGCAAUAAGGAGAUUCUUCAGAAAACUUGUAAUGGAACCACCAUUUGAUCCAGUUAACCCACUAUUCGGUAUCUACCCAAAAAACUUAAAAUCAGCUUUCUACAGUGACACAGCCACAUCAAGGUUUAUAGCAGCUGAAUUCACGAUAGCAAAUCAAUGG